GCAUAACGCGAAGAACCUUACCAAGGCUUGACAUAUACGAGAACGGGCCAGAAAUAGGGGACUCUUUGGACACUGGUGAACAGGUGGUGCAUGGUUGUCGUCAGCUCGUGUCGUGAGAUGUUGGGUUAAGUCCCGCAACGAGCGCAACCCUCGUUCUAUGUUGCCAGCACGUAAUGGUGGGAACUCAUGGGAUACUGCCGGGGUCAACUCGGAGGAAGGUGGGGAUGACGUCAAAUCAUCAUGCCCCUUAUGUCUUGGGCUUCACGCAUGCUACAAUGGCCGGUACAAAGGGCUGCAAUACCGUGAGGUGGAGCGAAUCCCAAAAAGCCGGUCCCAGUUCGGAUUGAGGUCUGCAACUCGACCUCAUGAAGUCGGAGUCGCUAGUAAUCGCAGAUCAGCAACGCUGCGGUGAAUACGUUCCCGGGUCUUGUACACACCG
rnacentral:rRNA from 1 species